GAUGUGAGGCUAGUGGGAGGAGGCAGUCGCUGUGCUGGUAGAGUGGAGUGGGACAAACUGGGAGAGGGGAAUAUGUCGGCUGUGUAUUUCUGGAAAUUGAAGGGUGUCGCUGAUGUAGUUUGUAGACAGCUGGGCUGUCGUUCCACUGUUUCAACACUGCUUAGAUACCGCACUGGAGGGUUUGAAGUUUACUGUAAUGGACUUGAACAUGCACAUCGGGAGCAAAGCCUCAAGGCCAACCUUGGUGACUCCAUUAAAGGUGAUCUGCUCCGAGUUCCUGCUUAAGCCUAAUAUCUCCCUGACCAUCUCAAUGGGAGUGUUCUCCAGGGGCCACCAGGGGACUCUAGAGGUGUUCAGGUGCCACAGCUUCACUAUCACCUGCUCCAUUCAGCCACAGUACCCAGGAGGCUCCCUCAUCACAUACCCUGACUCCAACAUAACCCAGACUUAGCCAGCUGUCAAUCACUCUGCUGCCUUCCUCUUCCCUGCUGCAGAUGACUCCCACCAAGGGAACUACAGCUGUGUUUAUGAGAUUUAUGUUUUUUCUCAUAACUUCUCCUCCGAGAGUGAUCUCCUCUCCCUGACUGUCACAGCCUCUCCUCUGACAGCUUUCAUCAUCAGACUGGUUGUAGUACUUCUGAUGUCACUGACAGCCAACACCGCCAUCUAUCUGUACAUCAAGGAGGCGAGUGGAAGGGGUGAAUUUGGAGAUGGUUUCCCUGAGGACCAGAGCUGAAGCCGGACCUGGAGAGAGCAGCCCAGGUGACAGACUAGGGUGAAGUUGACUGAAAAGUCAAAGUGGGGUCCAUGGCACAUCCAACUCUGACYUCACCCCAUUGAAGUUGAAAUGUAAAAUGUUUCAAAUGUAGUUGAAGUCAUUUCAAAUGUAUAAAGGUUAAGGUUAGGAUAAUGGUUAGGUUAGGGUAGGCGUCCCAAGAUUCCCGGAUAGCACGAACUGAAGUUGACCGUAGAGACGCUGAACUUAGGUCCGUUUUUUGUUUUCCAGAUACCAUGGGACUGGUGUAGACUUGAUGGGAUUUUAUCCAAACCCAAUGAAAUUAAAUGAGUGUUAAGUUUCUAUUGGUUGUGCUAUGGCUGCACUUCCUUGCAAUUUAUUUUAUUAUUAUCAUCAUGUUUUAACUGCAUUAUGUGAUACUUCUCAUGUUAUUUCAUAAACAAUUGCUCAGUACAGUACUAUUAUUGUUUGCCUAGAGAGUGCUAUUUGUGCAAUGUAGAAUAAUACAUUUU